AGCAGCCGCGGUAAUUCCAGCUCCAAUAGCGUAUAUUAAAGUUGUUGCAGUUAAAAAGCUCGUAGUUGAAUUUCGGGGUUAGUAGAUUGGCCAUGCCUCUGGUAUGUACUGGUCUCACUGAUUCCUCCUUCCUGAUGAACCUUAAUGCCAUUAAUUUGGUGUUUUGGGGAAUUUGGACUGUUACUUUGAAAAAAUUAGAGUGUUUAAAGCAAGCUAACGCUUGAAUACAUUAGCAUGGAAUAAUGAAAUAGGACGUUCGAUCCUAUUUUGUUGGUUUCUAGGAUUGACGUAAUGAUUAAUAGGGAUAGUUGGGGGCAUUAGUAUUCAAUUGUCAGAGGUGAAAUUCUAGGAUUUAUUGAAGACUAACUACUGCGAAAGCAUUUGCCAAGGAUGUUUUCAUUAAUCAAGAACGAAAGUUAGGGGAUCGAAGACGAUCAGAUACCGUCGUAGUCUUAACCAUAAACUAUGCCGACUAGGGAUCGGAUGAUGUUAAUUUUUUAAUGACUCA
rnacentral:rRNA from 1 species